GGCUCCAUAGCUCAGGGGGUAGAGCCUUGGUCUAGUAGACCAGGGGUCAUGACUUCAAAUCUCCCCUGGAGCCU
rnacentral:tRNA from 2 species